rnacentral:rRNA from 1 species
CCUACGGGUGGCAGCAGUGGGGAAUAUUGCACAAUGGGGGAAACCCUGAUGCAGCGACGCCGCGUGAGUGAAGAAGUAUUUCGGUAUGUAAAGCUCUGUCAGCAGGGAAGAAAAUGACGGUACCUGCCCAAGAAUCCCCGGCUAACUACGUGCCAGCAGCCGCGGUAAUACGUAGGGGGCAAGCGUUAUCCGGAUUUACUGGGUGUAAAGGGGGCGUAGACGGCAGGGCAAGUCUGGAGUGAAAGGCGGGGGCUCAACCCCCGGACUGCUCUGGAAACUGCCAGGCUGGAGUGCAGGAGAGGUAAGUGGAAUUCCGAGUGUAGCGGUGAAAUGCGUAGAUAUUAGGAGGAACACCAGUGGCGAAGGCGGCUUACUGGACUGUAACUGACGUUGAGGCGCGAAAGCGUGGGGAGCAAACAGGAUUAGAUACCCUAGUAGUC